rnacentral:rRNA from 1 species
CGCAAUGGGCGAAAGCCUGACGGAGCGACGCCGCGUGAUGGAUGAAGUGCUUUGGUACGUAAACAUCUUUUAUCAGGGACGAAGUUUAUUGACGGUACCUGAUGAAUAAGGGGCUCCUAACUCUGUGCCAGCAGGAGCGGUAAUACAGAGGCCCCAAGCAUUACCCGGAAUCACUGGGCGUAAAGGGUGUCGAGGCGGUUGUAUUAGUCUCCCGUAAAAUCCGUGGGCUUAACCUACGGCCGGCGGGGGAAACGGUACAACUCGAGGGCGCGAGAGGUGCACGGAACUCAUGGUGGAGGGGUGAAAUCCGUUGAUAUCAUGGGGAACACCAAAUGCGAAGGCAGUGCACUGGCGCGUUCCUGGCGCUCACACACGAAAGCCA